rnacentral:lncRNA from 1 species
AUAAAUAAAAUAAAAUAAAUUUAUUUAUUUUCCAGGAGUUGGUUGGUUAAUUUAUUGAAGAGCAAGAUAAUAAACGAAGAAAUAAUAGAGUGAGAAAUCAGAUAUAAUAUGUAGACAGGAAUGAUUAUUAUCAUAUGAAGAAUAAUUUGUCUUGAUGUGUUGAAACACACUUGAACAAUUCAAUAUGUCUUUUAAUCUAUUAAUCUGGUAUUCGUAUCUUAGGGUAAUGGGGAAUGCGGUGUCUUGAGAUUCAAGCUCUUAUAAGAGGCAAGCAUCUCCCAUCGAAUCAGACCUCAAGAUAAAGAAUAAGAGAAGAAUUGGCCAGAGCUGCCCAGAUACUGAGUAGAGUUGGCAUUCGGCAUACGAAGGACUAGCAUAUCCGAGGAAGAAACACGGCGGGAGAGGCGGUGAGAAACAACCAAAGGUAGAGAAGAUAUCGUGCCGGUUAGUGCCCCGCCCCGGCUUCAGGGUCGUCUUAAUUACCGGGUGGUCCAGUUCGGAACCCCAUAAAUAUUUGGUUGCCUUGGCGGCACUCUUUCCUUCGAGUCGAGACCCCAGGACUCCUGGGAGACCACGAGAUUUCUUCUUCUUCUUUAUAUUCUUCUUCUUCUUCUUCUUCUCGAAGUUUCCUCUCGAGAACAAGUGGGCCCAAGAGAGAGAGAGAGAGAGAGAGAAAGAGAGAAAGUCAAUAAGAAGAGGAGUAUAUAAAAUGAGAGAGUAAAUAUAAAGAUGUACAGUAAACUCGAUAAUUCGAUGCUCGUGUAGGCUUUUUCACAGACCAAGACUCUUCUCUUGUAUAUAAUUCCAUCAGAUUGAGGCCUCUUUGUAUUUAGAGUUACACCGCUCUGCCUCCUGACGAAUAACCGGAUGACCGUCCAACUCUUUUAAGUAACAUUCUACUCAGUUAUGUUAGGGAGCCAGAAAGUCUACCGAAGGUAGUCAUUUAGAUGAAUCGUCGGUUUGGUCAAUGUGGGAAAGAGACAAGUGAGGAUGAGGUUAUGCUCAAGUGGAAGAGGAUAUCUUAUAUUGUCUCUACGUGCAGAUAAGGACAGCGGCUUGUCAAGAGCUGCCCACAAAAACAAGAGGAUUAGUCAUUUUUUGAAUCAUCGGGCAGGUAUAUGGAGAGAUAACAAGGAUGCUCAUCCUAAAACUCAACAUCCUAUCCACGUCACCCAGAUUUACAAAUUGACCGGCCUCCUACGCCAACUAUGCGCAUAGCGCUCUGCAUAUUCGACAGAAUGUUUAAUGCUUUCGGCGUGACUCAUCCGCCGGGACAUCUCUAUUAUCUGGUCAUCUGAGCAUGGGAUAUUGUGGAAGUAUGGAAUCCAUUAGCAAGUGCACGUGAUAUCUUGUGAAGUACAGAAUUGGUGAAUUAUAAUUUCAGGCUUUUACGGUCCGCCCACAUACGAAGCCUAAAACAAUGGCCAUUACUACCAAUUUUCGAUGAGCUGUCAUCAACCACCCACGGGUAUACGACGAGGGAGCUAGGGCACUAUCAUUUGUGUGGUCUGCCAGCCGGAUUUGUGUUGAACCUCUGUUUCGAUUUCGCCAAAGUCUGAAAAUGUGCUCGACAGAGAGGAGAAUAGUUGAGGGCAUAAGAGCAAAAAAUCUAUGUAUAUGUAUAAUAUAAUACUAAGUGAGUGAGAUUGACGACUAAAAGAAGAAAGAGACCACCUUCGUAGAAGCCACUUACUCUCGCGAGAACAGAGAGAACAUUAUUUAUUCUAUCUCACUUGGUUUUAUAUUUCGAAAUUCUCUCUACUCCUCGGACGAAGUUAACUCUAUACACUCAUCGGUAUACCGCGGAUUAUCUUGUGUAUUAUUAUGUUUGUAUUAUAGUUCGAGUAAAGAGAGAGUGGAGUCAUGUGAUAACAAGAGAUGUUAAUUCCCACCAAGCCUUGCUGAUCAGAGAACUCUCAAGUACGCUCCCGAGUUUCCAGGCACCUGAUGGCUCAUUAUGCAAGUUAUAAUUAUGUAAUCAUUCUUUUAUUGUGCAGAAGUAUAUUUUUAUGAGUAGUCCUUCUGGAAUGAUGCACUGGUUUGGUUUUAACUGGUGAUUUAUUACGAUCUGGUUCAAACUUGUCAGCUAUUUUUCAUUUUAUCUUUAGAGAGUAAUUAUCCACAACUGGAUUAUACUGUAAUACGUAAGCUUCUGAGAAGAGAAUAAUUUAAAAUAUUCAAUAAAAACCAUAAAACCAGCUGGUAUUGUAUAUAUAAUGGGAGAUGGGAGUAUAUACGUGGGUAAUAAAUACAGCGAUAUAUCUAACCAGUAUAAGUACGGGCACCCUCACCUGUUCUCAUCUGCAGCUGCAUUUGAUGACCGAUAUCUUCUUGACAAAUUAUUAUCAUCUCCCGGAAACUCGUUUCUUCUCAAUUAAACGUGACGAUGAGAGUUUUAUUCCCGAUCCUCGAGUUUUAUUUUUAAUUCCCGUGAGUAUGUAAUGCUAAUUCAUUUUAUAAUUAUAUACUUAUUAAUCAAGUAGGGAGCCAGAUGAAGAAUGAUGAUGAUGAUACUCGUAUACUUAUGCUGACAUUCGAUAGAAGCCGAUACGAGGUAAACAAGUAUUCUCUACAGUCCAGAGAGUACUUUCGGUACGCGGCAGACAGCGCGUCGCCCAAUCUCCUGACUUGUUCAUAUUCUCACUACUUCUUGUGUAUUAGAGCUCGAGAUAUAAUACCAGUUACAUCAACUCCCGUCGAUUCAAUUGUACCAAUGUAUUAUUAUGUUAAUGCCUUUUUAUUUAAUUUAUCGCGUUACAGCAUCUAGAAUUGAAUUCUUGGAAAUAGU